UCAUUAUGAUGAGGGAAUUUCUUAAGAAUUUCCUUAAAUCUCUCCUAACUUUCAUAAAUUGACACUCCUUUAAACAGAGAAAAAGAUGUGAUAUCAUUCCUAAGCUU